rnacentral:rRNA from 1 species
GUUGGGUGUGUAAGCGCUGUGAGGCGUUGAGCUAACCAAUACUAAUUGCCCGUGAGGCUUGACCAUAUAACACCCAAGCAAUU